UACGUAGGGUGCGAGCGUUAAUCGGAAUUACUGGGCGUAAAGCGUGCGCAGGCGGUUAUGUAAGACAGGUGUGAAAUCCCCGGGCUUAACCUGGGAACUGCAUUUGAAACUGAAAGGCUAGAGUGUGGCAGAGGGGGGUGGAAUUCCACGUGUAGCAGUGAAAUGCGUAGAGAUGUGGAGGAACACCGAUGGCGAAGGCAGCCCCCUGGGCUAACACUGACGCUCAUGCACGAAAGCGUGGGGAGCAAACAGG
rnacentral:rRNA from 1 species